UACGUAGGGGGCAAGCGUUGUCCGGAUUUACUGGGCGUAAAGAGCGCGCAGGCGGUCGGUCAAGUCGCGUGUGAAAGCCCCCGGCUCAACUGGGGAGGGUCACGCGAUACUGAUCGACUGGAAGGCAGGAGAGGGUAGUGGAAUUCCCGGUGUAGUGGUGAAAUGCGUAGAUAUCGGGAGGAACACCAGUGGCGAAGGCGACUACCUGGCCUGUUCUUGACGCUGAGGCGCGAAAGCUAGGGGAGCAAACGGG
rnacentral:rRNA from 1 species